rnacentral:misc_RNA from 1 species
AAAGAGAAUAUCCAUUGGAAGGAUGUAUUAAUAGGCCAUAAGAAUUUUUAGGAAAGAAUAUUUCACAUAUUUUUUCCACAAUUCCCUGAUGUUGUAUGAUCAUAAUUUUUGUUACCAUUCCUCUAGAAGAAACAAGAAGCUUAUGGCACAGAAUCAGCAACCAGAAAUCAUUAACCAUAAUUGCCAUAGGAACCACAGAAGCAAUUAGUAGUCGUGCACAAACACGCGUAGCUAAAUGGCAGUUGGGGUAGAAAGUUGAAUUUCUAGAACAUAUCAAAUCCUCAAAACAAGAAACAGUGUUCAUAAUAAAGCUG